GAUGAACGCUGGCGGCGUGCCUAAUACAUGCAAGUCGAGCGAAGCGGGCACGGGUGAGUAACACGUGGAUAACCUCCUAUAAGACUGGGAUAACUUCGGGAAACCGGUGCCAAACCGGACACUUAUCGCUGAAUCGGCGUGGCAUUAGCUGGUGGGUAAGCUAACGGCUUACCAAGGCAACGAUGCAUAGCUGACCUGAGAGGGGGAUCGGCCACACUGGAACUGAGACACGGUCCAGACUCCUACGGGAGGCAGCAGUAGGGAAUCUUCCGCAAUGGGCGAAAGCCUGACGGAGCAACGCCGCGUGAGUGAUGAAGGUCUUCGGAUCGUAAAACUCUGUUAGUAGGGAGGCGGUACCUAAUCAGAAAGCCACGGCUAACUACGUGCCAGCAGCCGCGGUAAUUC
rnacentral:rRNA from 1 species